UAAUGAGACCACCGGCGACAAUCCGGAGGAAGGUGGGGAUGACGUCAAGUCGUCAUCGCCGUGAUAGGUGGGGCUACACACGUCAUACAAUGGGUGGUACAAAGGGUUGACAACCCGCGAGGGGGAUCUAGUUCUAUAAACCCAGUCGUAGUCCGGAUUGCAGUGUCCAACUCGACUGCAUGAAGUUGGUAUGGCUAGUAAUCGUGGAUCAGAAUGUCACGGUGAAUAUGUUGCCGGGUCUGGUACACGCCGCCCGUCACACCAUGGGAGCGGGUCUCGCCAGAAGUUGGUAGCCUAACCUCAAGGAGGGCGCUUACCACGGCGGGGUUCGUGAUUGGGGUGAAGUGGUAACAAGGUAGCCGUAUCGGAAGGCGCGGCCGGAUCUCCU
rnacentral:rRNA from 1 species